rnacentral:rRNA from 1 species
GCAUNUGUGUGUAAGUUGUUGAGAGCGUAUGGUGGAUGCCUUGGCAUCAGGAGCCGAUGAAGGACGUGGGAAUCUGCGAUAAGCCUGGGGGAGUUGAUAACCGGACGGUGAUCCCAGGAUGUCCGAAUGGGGGAACCCCGCAUGCUGUGAGGUGUGUGACCUGACACUGAAUAUAUAGGUGUUAUGGGGGGAACGAGGGGAAGUGAAACAUCUCAGUACCCUUAGGAAGAGAAAACAAUAGUGAUUCCGUUAGUAGUGGCGAGCGAACGCGGAUGGGGCUAAACCUGUAUCGUGUGAUACCCGGCAGGGGUUGCGGUGCGGGGGUUGUGGGUGUAUGUGUCCAGUUACUGCCGUGGCUGGCUGGUGAGGUGCGGGCGUGGAGACGAAGCAGUGUGAGUGCUGCACCGUAGAGGGUGUGAGUCCCGUAGUCGUAUUAUGUUCCGCCGCUAGAUCGUAUGACCCGAGUAGCACGGGGCUCGUGGAAUCUCGUGUGAAUCUGCCAGGACCACCUGGUAAGCCUGAAUACUACCUGGUGACCGAUAGCGGAUCAGUACCGUGAGGGAAUGGUGAAAAGUACCCCGGGAGGGGAGUGAAAUAGUGCCUGAAACCAUGCGCUUACAAACCGUCAAAGCCCUUUUUUGUGGGGUGAUGGCGUGCCUUUUGAAGAAUGAGCCUGCGAGUUAGUGCUGUGUCGCGAGGUUAACCCGUGUGGGGUAGUCGUAGCGAAAGCGAGUCUGAAUAGGGCGUUGUAGUGGCACGGUCUAGACCCGAAGCGGGGUGAUCUACCCAUGGCCAGGUUGAAGCGUGUGUAAGAGCACGUGGAGGACCGAACCCACCUAGGUUGAAAACUGGGGGGAUGAGCUGUGGGUAGGGGUGAAAGGCCAAUCAAACUCCGUGAUAGCUGGUUCUCCCCGAAAUGCAUUUAGGUGCAGCGUUACGUGUUUCUUUACCGUGGUAGAGCUACUGGAUGGCUGAUGGGCCCUACAAGGUUACUGACGUCAACCAAACUCCGAAUGCGGUGAAGUGAGAGCGUAGCAGUGAGACUGUGAGGGAUAAGCUUCAUGAGUCGAGAGGGAAACAGCCCAGAACAUCAGCUAAGGCCCCUAAGCGUGUGCUAAGUGGGAAAGGAUGUGGAGUUGCUGAGACAACCAGGAGGUUGGCUUAGAAGCAGCCACCCUUGAAAGAGUGCGUAAUAGCUCACUGGUCAAGUGAUUCCGCGCCGACAAUGUAGCGGGGCUCAAGUACACCGCCGAAGCUGUGUCACUCCAUACUUUUGUGUGGGGUGGGUAGGGGAGCGUCGGGCAUGUGGUGAAGCCUGGGUGGAAACCAUCAGGUGGAGCGUGUUCGAGUGAGAAUGCAGGCAUGAGUAGCGAAUGGCGGGUGAGAAACCCGUCCGCCGAAUGAUCAAGGGUUCCAGGGUCAAGUUUUUCUUCCCUGGGUGAGUCGGGACCUAAGGCGAGGCCGACAGGCGUAGUCGAUGGACAACGGGUUGAUAUUCCCGUACCGGCGAAGAACCGUCCAUAUCGAAGCGAUGAUGCUAACCACCCCAACCACACCAGACCAACNACCUNGUAGUUUGGGUGGUGUGUGCGGCGUGGGACCCGAUUCGUGGAGGUAAACGUAGUAACAGGUGUGACGCAGAGAGGUAGCCGGGCCAGGCAAUGGAAUCGACCUGGUCUAAGAGUGUAGGCCGGUGUAUAGGCAAAUCCGUACACCAUAAUGGCUGAGACUUGAUGGGCGCCCACAAUGGGUGGGUGAUCCGGUGAUCCUGUACUGCCGAGAAAAGCAUCGACGUGAGGUUCUAGCUGCCCGUACCCGAAACCGACACAGGUGAUCUGGUAGAGAAUACCGAGGCGAUCGAGAGAAUCAUGGUUAAGGAACUCGGCAAAAUGCCCCCGUAACUUCGGAAGAAGGGGGGCCUGCCUCGUGACCCCCACAUGCUGGGGUGAGCGGGUGUGGGCCGCAGAGACCAGAGGGAAGCGACUGUUUACUAAAAACACAGGUCCGUGCGAAGUCGCAAGACGAUGUAUACGGACUGACUCCUGCCCGGUGCUGGAAGGUUAAGAGGACCUGUUAGAACAUUCGUGUUCGAAGCGGAGAAUUUAAGCCCCAGUAAACGGCGGUGGUAACUAUAACCAUCCUAAGGUAGCGAAAUUCCUUGUCGGGUAAGUUCCGACCUGCACGAAUGGAGCAACGACUUCCCUGCUGUCUCAACCAUGAACUCGGCGAAAUUGCAGUACGAGUAAAGAUGCUCGUUACGCGCAGAAGGACGGAAAGACCCCGUGACCUUUACUAUAGUUUGGUAUUGGUGUUCGGUGCGGUUUGUGUAGGAUAGGUGGGAGACUGUGAAGCAGCCACGCCAGUGGUUGUGGAGUCAUUGUUGAAAUACCACUCUGACCGUAUCGGAUGUCUAACCUCGGCCCGUGAUCCGGGUCAGGGACAGUGCCUGAUGGGUAGUUUAACUGGGGCGGUUGCCUCCUAAAUGGUAACGGAGGCGCCCAAAGGUUCCCUCAGCCUGGUUGGCAAUCAGGUGUCGAGUGUAAGUGCACAAGGGAGCUUGACUGCGAGACUGACAGGUCAAGCAGGGACGAAAGUCGGGACUAGUGAUCCGGCAGUGGCUUGUGGAAGCGCUGUCGCUCAACGGAUAAAAGGUACCUCGGGGAUAACAGGCUGAUCUUGCCCAAGAGUCCAUAUCGACGGCAUGGUUUGGCACCUCGAUGUCGGCUCGUCGCAUCCUGGGGCUGGAGUCGGUCCCAAGGGUUGGGCUGUUCGCCCAUUAAAGCGGCACGCGAGCUGGGUUUAGAACGUCGUGAGACAGUUCGGUCCCUAUCCUCUGCGCGCGUAGGAAAUGUGAGAAGGGCUGUCCCUAGUACGAGAGGACCGGGACGGACGAACCUCUGGUAUGUCAGUUGUACCGCCAGGUGCACCGCUGAUUAGCUACGUUCGGGAAGGAUAACCGCUGAAAGCAUCUAAGCGGGAAGCCUGCUUCAAGAUAACAUUUCCAACCAAACUUGUUUGGGAGAGGCCCCCAGCUAGACCACUGGGUUGAUAGGCAGGAAGUGUACGCACGGACCA